AAAAUAAUAAAAUAGUGUUUAUAAAUAAAAAAAUGUUUUAUAAAUACAAAAUUAGUUUUAAUAAAUAUAAAAUAGUAUAAAAAUUAAAAAAAUAGUUUAAAUAAAUCCCAAAAACAGUUAAUAAUUACAAAAAAUAGUUUAAAAAAUAUUUAAAAUGUUAAAUAAUUACAAAAAAUAGUUUUCAUAAUAUUAAAAAUGUUUAAUAAAUAUAGAAUUUUAUAUUUUAUAUAUAAAAUACAUAAAACGUUUUAUAACCACAAAAAAUGAUUUUAAAUAUUAUAUAUAUGAUUUUUAAUCUUAAAAAAAGUUUUAUAGAUUUUAAAAAUGUUUAAUAAAUAUAUAAAUGAAUUUAAAAUGCAAAAAAUAGAUUUUAUAUACAAAAAACGUUUUCAAUAUAUAUAUAUAAUUACAAAUUCGAUUUUUAUAACCACAAAAUUAAUAAAAACUAAAAAAAAAAAAUUCAAAUCAAGUGAAAUACAUAAUCAAACUCGAUUUUACACAAAUCUACCAUUCACCCUAACAAAAUCUAUAAAUCUCAUUCCAAAAUCAUCAAAUCUACUUAAAAACCAUACAAAUCUAACCUAAAAGAGUGGGAUAGGGUUCAUACAUGAGGAUUAGGGUGGAAAUCGCGAGGGAGAAGAGAGAAAGCGCCGGAAAUCGCAAGAGAGGAGAGAGGAGUCGACGAAAUCGCAGGGGAAAGAAAGAGUGCGGCGGAGAGAAAUGGGGAAGAAGGUCGGGCUCGACCUAAUAAAAUGAGGGGUCCGACGGAAAUUAUCCGUCGGAAUUUCCUCGGAAAUAUUUACUAUAUCCGUCGGAAUUUCCUCGGAAAUAAUUUCCGUCGGAAUUUCCUCGGAAAUAAUUACUAUAUCCGUCGGAAUUUCCUCGGAAAUCAUUAAUUCAAUUUUCGCGAAAUAUUUGGCGGCUUGGUUUACCCGGUUAAAUGAAAAUAUUCCGAGGAACCAGGUUUCCUCGGAAUAUCCUCGGUAAUUACCGAGGAAAUUCUGAGGAACCAG
rnacentral:lncRNA from 1 species